rnacentral:rRNA from 1 species
UAGGGAAUCUUCCACAAUGGACGCAAGUCUGAUGGAGCAACGCCGCGUGAGUGAAGAAGGUUUUCGGAUCGUAAAGCUCUGUUGUUGGUGAAGAAGGAUAGAGGCAGUAACUGGUCUUUAUUUGACGGUAAUCAACCAGAAAGUCACGGCUAACUACGUGCCAGCAGCCGCGGUAAUACGUAUGUGGCAAGCGUUGUCCGGAUUUAUUGGGCGUAAAGCGAGCGCAGGCGGAAUGAUAAGUCUGAUGUGAAAGCCCACGGCUCAACCGUGGAACUGCAUCGGAAACUGUCAUUCUUGAGUGCAGAAGAGGAGAGUGAAUUCCAUGUGUAGCGGUGGAAUGCGUAGAUAUAUGGAAGAACACCAGUGGCGAAGGCGGCUCUCUGGUCUGCAACUGACGCUGAGGCUCGAAAGCAUGGGUAGCGAACAGG